rnacentral:rRNA from 1 species
GAUUGAACGCUGGCGGCAUGCCUAACACAUGCAAGUCGAACGGGAGUAGCAAUACUCUAGUGGCGGACGGGUGAGGAAUACGUGGGAAUUUGCCCUUAAGUGGGGGAUAACCCGGGGAAACCCGGAUUAAUACCGCAUGACCUCGAAAGAGCAAAGUGGGGGAUCGCAAGACCUCACGCUUUUGGAGAAGCCUACGUCGGAUUAGCUAGUUGGUGAGGUAAUGGCUCACCAAGGCGACGAUCCGUAACUGGUCUGAGAGGAUGAUCAGUCACACCGGAACUGAGACACGGUCCGGACUCCUACGGGAGGCAGCAGUGGGGAAUAUUGGACAAUGGGCGCAAGCCUGAUCCAGCAAUGCCGCGUGUGUGAAGAAGGCCUUCGGGGUUGUUAAAAGA